rnacentral:rRNA from 1 species
CCUAUUAUUAAAAAUGUAAAUUUUUUUACUUAAUUAGUAUUAGUUAUGUUCUUGAAAAUUAAAAAAUUUGGCGGUAUUUUAGUCUUUUCAGAGGAACCUGUUCUAUAAUCGAUAGUCCACGAUUAGAUGCACUUUAUUUAUUAGUUUAUAUAUCGUCGUAGUUUAAAUAUUUUAAUAGAAUUAUAAAUAUUUAAAAUUUUUUAUUAAAAAAUAAAUCAGAUCAAGGUGUAGUUUAUAAUAAAGAAGAAAUGGGUUACAAUAAAUUUAUUUUAAAAUAAUUUUUGUUAAAAAAAUUUGAAUUUGGAUUUGAGAGUAAUUUUUUAGAUUUUUUUAAGAUGAUUAAAGCUCUAAAAUAUGUACAUAUCGCCCGUCGCUUUCAUUUUAAAAUGAAAUAAGU